rnacentral:rRNA from 1 species
CUUGACGACCAUAGAGCAUUGGAACCACCUGAUCCCAUCCCGAACUCAGCAGUGAAACGAUGCAUCGCCGAUGGUAGUUG